rnacentral:misc_RNA from 1 species
GGGAAAAGGAUUAAGAUUGAGGAAAAUUUAAUAAAAGGGGUGGGCUAGGACCGAGGGAAUUAGGAUUCAAUUAAAAUAUAAAAAAUAUAAAAUUAGGAUGGUUGUGGUUAAGAAGAGGGGAUCAAAGAUUGCGGGAGCAGUUCUGUAAUAAUCCAUAUAUGAAUAAUUUAAAUAAUGGAAUGAGGUUACAUAUUUGGUUGUAGAUCUCGCCGAAUGAUUUGGAUUAUUCAUAUAUGGA